rnacentral:rRNA from 1 species
GACGGAGGGUGCUAGCGUUGUUCGGAAUCACUGGGCGUAAAGGGCGCGUAGGCGGCUGUGGCAGUCGGGUGUGAAAGCCCGGAGCUCAACUCCGGAACGGCACUCGAGACGCCACGGCUGGAGGCCGGAAGAGGAGGGUGGAAUACCCAGUGUAGAGGUGAAAUUCGUAGAUAUUGGGUGGAACACCGGUGGCGAAAGCGGCUCACUGGUCCGGUUCUGACGCUGAGGCGCGAAAGCGUGGGGAGCAAACAGG